rnacentral:rRNA from 1 species
CCUACGGGAGGCAGCAGUGGGGAAUAUUGGUCAAUGGGCGAGAGCCUGAACCAGCCAAGUCGCGUGCAGGAUGAAGGAUCUAUGGUUUGUAAACUUCUUUUAUAUGGGAAUAAAGUGAGGAACGUGUUCCUUUUUGUAUGUACCAUAUGAAUAAGCAUCGGCUAACUACGUGCCAGCAGCCGCGGUAAUACGGAGGAUGCGAGCGUUAUCCGGAUUUAUUGGGUUUAAAGGGUGCGUAGGUGGUUAAUUAAGUCAGCGGUGAAAAUUUGGGGCUCAACCAUAAAAUUGCGGUUGAAACUGGUUGACUAGAGUAUAUUUGAGGUAGGCGGAAUGCGUUGGGAAGCGGUGAAAUGCAUAGAUAUCACGCAGAACUCCGAUGGCGAAGGCAGCUUACUAAACUAUAACUGACACUGAAGCACGAAAGCGUGGGGAUCAAACAGGAUUAGAUACCCCAGUAGUC